rnacentral:rRNA from 1 species
GGCAAACGCUGGCGGCAGGCCUAAUACAUGCAAGUCGAGCGGGUCCUUCGGGAUUAGCGGCGGACGGGUGGAGUAACGCGUGGGAACGUGCCCUUUGGUACGGAACAACUGAGGGAAACUUCAGCUAAUACCGUAUGUGCCCUUCGGGGAAAGAUUUAUCGCCAUUGGAGCGGCCCGCGUUGGAUUAGGUAGUUGGUGAGGUAAAGGCUCACCAAGCCUACGAUCCAUAGCUGGUCUGAGAGGAUGACCAGCCACACUGGGACUGAGACACGGCCCAGACUCCUACGGGAGGCAGCAGUAGGGAAUCUUGCGCAAUGGGCGAAAGCCUGACGCAGCCAUGCCGCGUGAAUGAUGAAGGUCUUAGGG